GUUUGAUCCUGGCUCAGGAUGAACGCUAGCUACAGGCUUAACACAUGCAAGUCGAGGGGCAUCGGGAAGAAAGCUUGCUUUCUUUGCCGGCGACCGGCGCACGGGUGAGUAACACGUAUCCAACCUGCCGUCUACUCUUGGACAGCCUUCUGAAAGGAAGAUUAAUACAAGAUGGCAUCAUGAGUCCGCAUGUUCACAUGAUUAAAGGUAUUCCGGUAGACGAUGGGGAUGCGUUCCAUUAGAUAGUAGGCGGGUAACGCCAACUAGUCUUCGAUGGAUAGGGGUUCUGAGAGGAAGGUCCCCCCAAUUGGAACUGAGACACGGUCCAAACUCCUACGGGAGGCAGCAGUGAGGAAUAUUGGUCAAUGGGCAGAGCCUGAACCAGCCAAGUAGCGU
rnacentral:rRNA from 1 species